GACGAACGCUGGCGGGGUGCUUAACACAUGCAAGUCGAGCGACAGUGCUCUUCGGAGUACAUGGAGCGGCGAACGGGUGAGUAACACGUGGGCAACCUGCCCCUAGCUCUGGGACAACCCCGGGAAACCGGGGCUAAUACCGGAUACGACCACCGACGGCAUCGUCUGGUGGUGGAAAGUUUUUCGGCUAGGGAUGGGCCCGCGGCCUAUCAGCUUGUUGGUGGGGUCAAGGCCCACCAAGGCGACGACGGGUAGCCGGCCUGAGAGGGCGACCGGCCACACUGGGACUGAGACACGGCCCAAGACUUCCUACGGGGAGGGCAAGCAGUGGGGAAUAUUGCGCAAUGGGCGAAAGCCUGACGCAGCGACGCCGCGUGAGGGAUGACGGCCUUCGGGUUGUAAACCUCUUUCAGCAGGGACGAAGUGAAAGUGACGGUACCUGCAGAAGAAGCACCGGCCAACUACGUGCCAGCAGCCGCGGUAAUACGUAGGGUGCAAGCGUUGUCCGGAAUUAUUGGGCGUAAAGAGCUCGUAGGCGGUCUGUCGCGUCGGCUGUGAAAACUCGGGGCUCAACCCCGAGCCUGCAGUCGAUACGGGCAGACUAGAGUGCUGUAGGGGAGACUGGAAUUCCUGGUGUAGCGGUGAAAUGCGCAGAUAUCAGGAGGAACACCGGUGGCGAAGGCGGGUCUCUGGGCAGUAACUGACGCUGAGGAGCGAAAGCGUGGGGAGCGAACAGGAUUAGAUACCCUGGUAGUCCACGCCGUAAACGGUGGGUGCUAGGUGUGAGCGGUAUUCCACGCCGUUCGUGCCGCAGCUAACGCAUUAAGCACCCCGCCUGGGGAGUACGGCCGCAAGGCUAAAACUCAAAGGAAUUGACGGGGGCCCGCACAAGCAGCGGAGCAUGUGGCUUAAUUCGACGCAACGCGAAGAACCUUACCAAGGCUUGACAUACACCGAAAACUCAUGGAGACAUGGGGUCCGCAAGGGCGGUGUACAGGUGGUGCAUGGUUGUCGUCAGCUCGUGUCGUGAGAUGUUGGGUUAAGUCCCGCAACGAGCGCAACCCUCGUUCUAUGUUGCCAGCGCGUAAAGGCGGGGACUCAUAGGAGACUGCCGGGGUCAACUCGGAGGAAGGUGGGGACGACGUCAAAUCAUCAUGCCCCUUAUGUCUUGGGCCGCACACAUGCUACAAUGGCCGGUACAAAGGGCUGCUAAGCCGCGAGGUGGAGCGAAUCCCAAAAAGCCGGUCUCAGUUCGGAUUGGGGUCUGCAACUCGACCCCAUGAAGUCGGAGUUGCUAGUAAUCGCAGAUCAGCAACGCUGCGGUGAAUACGUUCCCGGGCCU
rnacentral:rRNA from 1 species